GGAGAGGUAUCGAAGAGGUCAUAACGAGCUCGACUCGAAAUCGAGUUGUCGGGUAAUACCUGGCACGAGGGUUCGAAUCCCUACCUCUCCG
rnacentral:tRNA from 1 species